rnacentral:rRNA from 1 species
CAGUCGCCGCGGUAAUACGAAGGGUGCAAGCGUUACUCGGAAUUACUGGGCGUAAAGCGUGCGUAGGUGGUGGUUUAAGUCCGUUGUGAAAGCCCUGGGCUCAACCUGGGAAUUGCAGUGGAUACUGGGUCACUAGAGUGUGGUAGAGGAUGGUGGAAUUCCCGGUGUAGCGGUGAAAUGCGUAGAGAUCGGGAGGAACAUCAGUGGCGAAGGCGGCCAUCUGGGACAACACUGACGCUGAGGCACGAAAGCGUGGGGAGCAAACAGGAUUAGAUACCCCUGUAGUCCCUGUCUCUUAUAC